CCUACGGGAGGCAGCAGUGAGGAAUAUUGGUCAAUGGGCGGAAGCCUGAACCAGCCAAGUAGCGUGCAGGAUGACGGCCCUACGGGUUGUAAACUGCUUUUAUACGGGAAUAACGCGCCUUACGUGUAGGGCUUUGCAUGUACCUUAUGAAUAAGGACCGGCUAAUUCCGUGCCAGCAGCCGCGGUAAUACGGAAGGUCCGGGCGUUAUCCGGAUUUAGUGGGUUUAAAGGGUGCGUAGGCGGAUUUUUAAGUCGACGGUAAAAGGUCCGGGCUCAACCAUGAAUGGCCGUUGAAACUGGGGAUCUUGAGUAGGCGUGAAGUAUGCGGAAUGCGUGGUGUAGCGGUGAAAUGCUGAGAUAUCACGCAGAACCCCGAUUGCGAAGGCAGCAUACCAGCGCCCGACUGACGCUGAGGCACGAAAGCGUGGGGAUCGAACAGGAUUAGAUACCCGGGUAGUC
rnacentral:rRNA from 1 species